rnacentral:rRNA from 1 species
AUUGAACGCUGGCGGCGUGCUUAACACAUGCAAGUGGAGCGACGAACCAGGCUUCGGCCUGGGGCAGAGCCGCGAACGGGUGAGUAACACGUGGGUAACCUGCCCCGAUGACUGGGACGAACCCGGGAAACCCGGGCGUAAUACCGGAUGUGCUGCAUUCGCAUCAGCGAGUGUAGGAAAGGAAGCUUCGGCCUCCGCAUCGGGAUGGGCUCGCGGCCCAUUAGCUUGUUGGGAGGUAACGGCUCACCAAGGCUUCGAUGGGUAGCUGGCUGAGAGGACGAUCAGCCACACUGGGACUGAGACACGGCCCAGACUCCUACGGGAGGCAGCAGUGGGAAUCUUGCGCAAUGCGCGAAAGCGUGACGCAGCAACGCCGCGUGGGGGAA